AUUGAACGCUGGCGGCAUGCUUUACACAUGCAAGUCGAACGGCAGCGCGGGCUUCGGCCUGGCGGCGAGUGGCGAACGGGUGAGUAAUGCAUCGGAACGUGCCCAGUAGUGGGGGAUAGCCCGGCGAAAGCCGGAUUAAUACCGCAUACGACCUGAGGGUGAAAGCGGGGGACCGAGAGGCCUCGCGCUAUUGGAGCGGCCGAUGUCGGAUUAGCUAGUUGGUGGGGUAAAGGCUUACCAAGGCGUCGAUCCGUAGCUGGUCUGAGAGGACGACCAGCCACACUGGGACUGAGACACGGCCCAGACUCCUACGGGAGGCAGCAGUGGGGAAUUUUGGACAAUGGGGGCAACCCUGAUCCAGCCAUGCCGCGUGCGGGAAGAAGGCCUUCGGGUUGUAAACCGCUUUUGUUCGGGAAGAAAUCCUCUGGGCUAAUACCCCGGGGGGAUGACGGUACCGGAAGAAUAAGCACCGGCUAACUACGUG
rnacentral:rRNA from 1 species